GACCCCCGUCAGGGAAGGGGUCCUCAGACUUGAGGUUGCCAGCUCAGAUGUGGGGCUGCUGAUACCAGGUGACUGGACUGAUGUUCUGUUCUAGAUGAAACUCCUUGAGGGGACCAUUUGAAAAGGCUUGAUGUGCUGCCCAAAGCCCCCUUCAGAGCUGACUUCACCCCCAGCUGCUGUGAGCCUUGGCCGCUGACAGCUCAUAGCUGAGUCCCUCCCAUGAAGUCACCUUCUGCUGAAGGGCACAUCCUCUCCCAAGGCGAAGCUGGUCCGUUACAUUUGUAAGCAGAGGCAGUGCAAGCUGAGCGUGGCUCCCGGUGAGAGGACCCCAGAGCUCAACAGUUACCCCCGCUUCAGCGACUGGCUGUACACUUUCAACGUGAGGCCGGAGGUGGUGCAGGAGGGGAACACAAGGAGGACUCCAGUUGGAGUUCGUUGGAUGCGCGGCGGGAAAGUGGCUCAGGGCCUUCCACAGAUACCCUCUCACCAGCCAGCCUGCCCUGGCCCCCAGGGAGCUCCCAGCUGGGCAGAGCAGGCAACAGCGCCCAGGGCCCACGCUCCAUCUCCGUGUCAGCUCUGCCCGCCUCAGACUCCCCCACCCCCAGCUUCAGUGAGGGCCUCUCGGACACCUGUAUUCCCCUGCACGCCAGCGGCCGGCUGACCCCCCGUGCCCUGCACAGCUUCAUCACC
rnacentral:sRNA from 1 species